rnacentral:rRNA from 1 species
GUCUUUUUGAGUUAUUUUUAAAGUCUGACCUGCCCACUGAAUUUUAAAUGGCCGCAGUAUUCUAACUGUGCAAAGGUAGCAUAAUCAUUAGUCUUUUAAUUGAAGGCUGGUAUGAACGGUUGGACGAGGUAUAAGCUGUUUCAUAUAAAUUUAUAAUAGAAUUUUAUAUUUUAGUUAAAAAGCUAAAAUUUAAUUAAAAGACGAGAAGACCCUAUAAAUCUUUAUAUUUUUUAUAUUUUAAAUUUUUUUGAUUUAGUUUGUUUUUAUUAUAUAAAAUAUUUUGUUGGGGUGAUAUUAAAAUUUAAUAAACUUUUAAUUUUAAAGAAUCAUUAAUUUAUGAUUUAUUGAUCCAUUAGUAGUGAUUAUAAGAUUAAGUUACUUUAGGGAUAACAGCGUAAUUUUUUUGGAGAGUUCAUAUCGAUAAAAAAGUUUGCGACCUCGAUGUUGGAUUAAGAUAUAAUUUUAGGUGUAGCCGCUUAAAUGUUAAGUCUGUUCGACUUUUAAAUUCUU